UAKUGGCGGAVKGGBGAGUAACGCGUGGGUAACCUACCCUUUUGUGGGGAACAACUUCGAGAAAUCGGAGCUAAUACCGCAUAAUAAUAGAGGAUCGCAUGAUUCUUUAAGGAAAGAUGGCCUCUGAAGAUGCUAUCGCAAAAGGAUGGACCCGCGUCUGAUUAGCUAGUUGGAAGGGUAACGGCCUACCAAGGCAACGAUCAGUAGCCGGCCUGAGAGGGUGAACGGCCACAUUGGGACUGAGACACGGCCCAAACUCCUACGGGAGGCAGCAGUGGGGAAUCUUCCGCAAUGGGCGAAAGCCUGACGGAGCAAUGCCGCGUGAGUGAAGAAGGCCUUCGGGUUGUAAAACUCUGUCCUUAUCGAAGCGAGGUAGGUAUGUGAAUAAUGUACCUAUAGGACGGUAGAUAAGGAGGAAGCCCCGGCUAACUACGUGCCAGCAGCCGCGGUAAUACGUGGGGGGCGAGCGUUGUCCGGAAUCACUGGGCGUAAAGGGCGCGUAGGCGGUUUAAUAAGUCAGUGGUGAAAACUGAGGGCUCAACCCUCAGCCUGCCACUGAUACUGUUAGACUUGAGUAUGGAAGAGGAGAAUGGAAUUCCUAGUGUAGCGGUGAAAUGCGUAGAUAUUAGGAGGAACACCAGUGGCGAAGGCGAUUCUCUGGGCCAAGACUGACGCUGAGGCGCGAAAGCGUGGGGAGCAAACAGGAUUAGAUACCCAGGUAGUCCACGCCGUAAACGAUGGAUACUAGGUGUUAGUAGUUUCGAUGCUACUAGUGCCGGAGUAAACACAAUAAGUAUCCCGCCUGGGGAGUACGGUCGCAAGACUGAAACUCAAAGGAAUUGACGGGGGCCCGCACAAGCGGUGGAGCAUGUGGUUUAAUUCGACGCAACGCGAAGAACCUUACCAAGACUUGACAUCCUCCUGACAAGAUAUGUAAUGUAUCUCUUUUCUUCGGAGACAGGAGAGACAGGUGGUGCAUGGUUGUCGUCAGCUCGUGUCGUGAGAUGUUGGGUUAAGUCCCGCAACGAGCGCAACCCUUAUUUCUAGUUGCCAGCAGUAAGAUGGGGACUCUAGAGAGACUGCCAGUGACAAACUGGAGGAAGGUGGGGAUGACGUCAAAUCAUCAUGCCCCUUAUGUCUUGGGCUACACACGUGCUACAAUGGUCAGAACAGAGGGAAGCGAAGCCGCGAGGUGGAGCAAAUCCCAGAAAACUGAUCUCAGUUCGGAUUGCAGGCUGCAACCCGCCUGCAUGAAGUCGGAAUCGCUAGUAAUCGCGGGUCAGCAUACCGCGGUGAAUACGUUCCCGVRUKUUGUACACACCGCCCGUCACACCACGAAAGUUAGUAACACCCG
rnacentral:rRNA from 1 species